rnacentral:tRNA from 2 species
GAGCACUUCGCCCAGUUUGGUAGGGCAUUUGAUUUGAGAUCAAAAGGUCGCGGGUUCAAAUCCCGUAUUGUUCACCA